AUUUGCUUCUUCCUAGCAAGGGCGUGAUACUAAUUCCAGAUCCAUCCAAAUAUUGUUCACUGCUUCUUAGACAGAGACCCCUUUCUCCCAGGACCCUUGAGACACCUUUGCUGUGAAUAAUGGAGAAGCAAAAGGAGUUACUAAUGAAGACAAACUAAACCCGAGAACAGAGAGAGCCUAACUAUGUGCUCCAGAAGUGCCAUGUGUGUCUAAGGUCACCAGUGCCCGAAUUUUUGGCUUUCUAUGGCUGAAGUGUAGUUUUAAGUGGCAGUGAAAUUAUGAUGACAUUGGACGGUGAUAUAGCGAUUAAGAAACUAAGGCAUAAAGAGGUGAAGUCAUUUGUUCAAGGUCAGGCAGCUACUAAGUGAGAGAACAGAGAAUUAUAUCAAGGUGCCUGGAUUCCAAGGUCAUGCUCAUAACUGGAGACUAAACAGCCUCAUAUUAGAUUUCCUCCCUGGAAAAAAAUCCUAUUUUCUUAUGGUGAACUAUGUAUUUAAUAUUUUAAUUAAGUUUGUUAGCACAUUAUUGUUCUUCCACUGUACUAAGUGAAACUGUUCUCUUUUUUGUUUUUUUAUUGUGUUUCUGUGUGCACAUGAUAAUUUGUUUUUUCUUUUCUCUUUUUGUCAAACUUAUAUUUUCUACUUUGUAAAAUAACUAAGAACUUUUUUGUGUUUUCUAUGUCCUAUAAAAUAAAAAGCAAUUAACC
rnacentral:lncRNA from 1 species